rnacentral:lncRNA from 1 species
CCAGUUUCCUAGUUUGGAAAUAGGACAGCUUCUUCGUCGUUCCAAUCAAACCAGGAUGAAUCUCUUUGUGAGAAGCUUGAUUUCGAUAUAUAAAGUGGCGGAGAAUCACCAGGAAGUUGAAUAAAUUUCAUAGGAGUUGGCAAGAAGAAGUUAUCCAAUUUUCAAAUCAGUUGAUUUCAGUUUCCCAGUUUGGGAAUAGGACAGCUUCUUCGUCGUUCCAUUCAAACCAAGAUGAAUCACUAGUUUCCCAGUUUGGGAAUUGGACAACUUCUUCGUCGUUCCAAUCACACCACGAUGAAUCACUUUGUAAGAAGCUUGAUUUGGAUACUUAAAAUGGUGGUCACACCACGAUGAAUCACUUUGUAAGAAGCUUGAUUUGGAUAUAUAAAGUGGUGUAGAAUCACAAGGAAGUUGAAUAAAUCUCAUAGGAGCUGGGAUGAAGAAAUUAUCCCACUUUCAAAUCAGGUGAUUCCAGUUUCCCAGUUUGGGAAUAGGAAAGCUUCUGCAUCGUUCCAAUCAAACCACGAUGAAUCACUUUGUAAGAGGCUUGAUUUGGAUACAUAAAGUGGUGUAGAAUCACCAGGAAGUUGAAUAAAUCUCAUAGGAGCUGGGAUGAAGAAGUUAUCCCACAUUCAAACCAGGUGAUUCCAGUUUUGCAGUUUGGGAAUAGGACAGCUUUUGUGUCGUUCCAAUCAAACCAGGAUGAAUGACUUUGUAAAAAGCUUUAUUUGGAUACAUAAAGUGGUCGAGAAUCACCAGGAAGUUGAAUAAAUCUCAUAGGAGCUGGGAUGAAGAAGUUAUCCCACUUUCAAAUCAGGUGAUUCCAGUUUCCCAGUAUGGGAAUAGGACAGCUUCUUCGUCGUUCCAAUCAAACCACAAUGAGUCACUUUGUAAGAAGCUUGAAUUGGAUACAUAAAAUGGUGUAGAAUCACCAGGAAGUUGAAUAAAUCUCAUAGGAGCUGGGAUGAAGAAGUUAUCCCACUUUCAAAUCAGGUGAUUCUAGUUUCGCAGUUUGGGAAUAGGACAGCUUUUAUGUCGUUCCAAUUUAAACCAGGAUGAAUCACUUUGUAAGAAGCUUCAUUUGUAUACAUAAAGUGGUGGAGAAUCACCGGGAAGUUGAAUAAAUCUCAUAACAGCUGGGAUGAAGAAGUUAUCCCACUUUCAAAUCAGGUGAUUCCAGUUUCCCAGUUUCGGAACAAGACAGCUUCUGCGUCGUUCCAAUCAAACCAGGAUGAAUCACUUUGUAAGAAGCUCGCCAAUUUGGGAAUAGGACAGCUUCUGCGUCGUUCCAAUCAAACCAGAAUGAAUCACUUUGUAAGAAGCUUGAUUUGGAUACAUAAAAAAAGUGGUGUAGAAUCACCAGGAAGUUGAAUAAAUCUCAUAGGAGCUGGGAUGAAGAAGUUAUCCCACUUUCAAAUCAGGUGAUUACAGUUUUCCAGUUUGGGAAUAGGACAGCUUCUUCAUCGUUUGGGAUGAAUGAGUUAUCCCACUUUCAAAUCAGGUGAUUCCAGUUUCCCAAUUUGGGAAUAAGACAGCUUCUGCGUCGUUCCAAUCAAACCAGAAUGAAUCACUUUGUAAGAAGCUUGAUUUGGAUACAUAAAGUGUUGGAGAAUCACCAGGAAGUUGAAUUAAUCUCAUAGGAGUUGGGAUGAAUGAGUUAUCCCACUUUCAAAUCAGGUGAUUCCAGUUUCUCAGUUGGGAACAAGACAGCUUUUGCGUCGUUCCAAUCAAACCAGGAUGAAUCACUUUGUAAGAAGCUCCAUUUGGAUACUUAAAAUGGUGGAGAAUCACCAGGAAGUUGAAUAAAUCUCAUAGGAGCUGGGAUGAAGAAGUUAUCCCAGUUUCAAAUCAGGUGAUUCCAGUUUCCCAGUUUGGGAAUAGGACAGCUUCUUCGUCGUUCCAAUCAAACCACGAUGAAUCACUUUGUAAGAAGCUUGAUUUAAAUACAUAAAGUGGUGGAGAAUCACCAGUAAAUUGAAUAAAUCUCCUAGGGGUUGGGAUGAAGAAGUUAUCCCACUUUCAAAUCAGGUGAUUCCAGUUUUGCAGUUUGGGAAUAGGACAGCUUCUACGUCGUUCCAAUUAAACCACGAUGAAUCACUUUGUAAGAAGAUUGAUUUGGAUACAUAAAGUGUUGUAGAAUCACCAGGAAGUUGAAUAAAUCUCAUAGGAGCUGGGAUGAAGAAGUUAUCCCACUUUCAAAUCAGGUGAUCCCAGUUUCCCAAUUUGGGAAUAGGACAGCUUCUGCGUCGUUCCAAUCAAACCAGAAUGAAUCACUUUGUAAGAAGCUUGAUUUGGAUACAUAAAAAAAGUGGUGUAGAAUCACCAGGAAGUUGAAUAAAUCUCAUAGGAGCUGGGAUGAAGAA